rnacentral:rRNA from 1 species
AUUGAACGCUGGCGGAAUGCUUUACACAUGCAAGUCGAACGGCAGCACGGGGGCAACCCUGGUGGCGAGUGGCGAACGGGUGAGUAAUACAUCGGAACGUGCCCGGUCGUGGGGGAUAACGUAGCGAAAGUUACGCUAAUACCGCAUACGAUCUGAGGAUGAAAGCGGGGGACCUUCGGGCCUCGCGCGAUCGGAGCGGCCGAUGUCAGAUUAGGUAGUUGGUGGGGUAAAGGCCUACCAAGCCGACGAUCUGUAGCUGGUCUGAGAGGACGACCAGCCACACUGGGACUGAGACACGGCCCAGACUCCUACGGGAGGCAGCAGUGGGGAAUUUUGGACAAUGGGGGCAAGCCUGAUCCAGCCAUUCCGCGUGCAGGACGAAGGCCUUCGGGUUGUAAAAUGCUUUUGUAUGGAACGAAAAGGCUCUGGCUAAUACCUGGGGAUCAUGACGGUACCGUAAGAAUAAGCACCGGCUAACUACGUG